rnacentral:rRNA from 1 species
UAGGGAAUCUUCCGCAAUGGGCGAAAGCCUGACGGAGCAACGCCGCGUGAGUGAAGAAGGAUUUCGGUUCGUAAAGCUCUGUUGUUAGGGAAGAAUGAUUGUGUAGUAACUAUACACAGUAGAGACGGUACCUAACCAGAAAGCCACGGCUAACUACGUGCCAGCAGCCGCGGUAAUACGUAGGUGGCAAGCGUUGUCCGGAAUUAUUGGGCGUAAAGCGCGCGCAGGUGGUUUAAUAAGUCUGAUGUGAAAGCCCACGGCUCAACCGUGGAGGGUCAUUGGAAACUGUUAAACUUGAGUGCAGGAGAGAAAAGUGGAAUUCCUAGUGUAGCGGUGAAAUGCGUAGAGAUUAGGAGGAACACCAGUGGCGAAGGCGGCUUUUUGGCCUGUAACUGACACUGAGGCGCGAAAGCGUGGGGAGCAAACAGGAUUAGAUACCCUGGUAGUCCACGCCGUAAACGAUGAGUGCUAAGUGUUGGUCUCAUAAGAGAUCAGUGUUGCAGCUAACGCAUUAAGCACUCCGCCUGGGGAGUACGACCGCAAGGUUG